UACGAAGGGGGCUAGCGUUGCCCGGAAUCACUGGGCGUAAAGCGCACGUAGGCGGCUUACUAAGUCAGGGGUGAAAUCCUGGAGCUCAACUCCAGAACUGCCUUUGAUACUGGUGAGCUUGAGUCCGGAAGAGGUGAGUGGAACUGCGAGUGUAGAGGUGAAAUUCGUAGAUAUUCGCAAGAACACCAGUGGCGAAGGCGGCUCACUGGUCCGGUACUGACGCUGAGGUGCGAAAGCGUGGGGAGCAAACAGG
rnacentral:rRNA from 1 species